rnacentral:rRNA from 1 species
CCUACGGUGGCAGCAGUGGGGAAUAUUGGACAAUGGGCGAAAGCCUGAUCCAGCCAUGCCGCGUGUGUGAAGAAGGCCUUCGGGUUGUAAAGCACUUUCAGUGGGGAAGAAAGCCUUGGGGCUAAUACCCUCGAGGAAGGACAUCACCCACAGAAGAAGCACCGGCUAACUCCGUGCCAGCAGCCGCGGUAAUACGGAGGGUGCGAGCGUUAAUCGGAAUUACUGGGCGUAAAGCGCGCGUAGGCGGUCUGAUAAGCCGGUUGUGAAAGCCCCGGGCGCAACCUGGGAACGGCAUCCGGAACUGUCAGGCUAGAGUGCAGGAGAGGAAGGUAGAAUUCCCGGUGUAGCGGUGAAAUGCGUAGAGAUCGGGAGGAAUACCAGUGGCGAAGGCGGCCUUCUGGACUGACACUGACGCUGAGGUGCGAAAGCGUGGGUAGCAAACAGGAUUAGAUACCCUGGUAGUC